GAGGAGGAGGAGGAGGAGGAGGAGGAGGAGGAGGAGCUGGGAAGGGCUCAGGAUCUGCGGGACUGGGAGAGCUGGGUCCGCUCUGACAUCCGAUGCUUCCUGUCCGUCCGCCCCGACGAGAAGUUCUCCGGGAGAGCCAUCGCCAGGAUAUUCCACGGGAUCAGCAGCCCCCGCUUCCCGGCACAGAUCUACGGGCGGGAUCGGCGCUUCUGGAGGAGGCACCUCCCCCUGGAUUUCCACUGGAUCGCCCGCCUGGCCACCCAGGAGAUCCUGGAUGCUGCCAGGUGAGGGGCAUUCCCGGGAAUGUCCUUCCCACACCCUCCCCCGGGAGCCUUUUUCCGGGGGCGUUUUAUCGGGAUUUUGUAAAUUAAUAAAUGGAGCCUGCCGGGAACGGGA